rnacentral:rRNA from 1 species
AGACCGAUAGCGAACAAGUACCGUGAGGGAAAGAUGAAAAGCACUUUGGAAAGAGAGUUAAACAGUACGUGAAAUUGUUGAAAGGGAAACGAUUGAAGUCAGUCGUGACCGAGAGGCUCAGCCGGUUCUGCCGGUGUAUUCCCCUCGGUCGGGUCAACAUCAGUUUCGUCCGGUGGAUAAGGGAGGCAGGAAGGUGGCACCCUCGGGUGUGUUAUAGCCUGCUUUCGCAUACAUCGGGUGAGACUGAGGAACGCAGCUCGCCUUUAUGGCCGGGGUUCGCCCACGUCCGAGCUUAGGAUGUUGACAUAAUGGCUUUAAACGACCCGUCUUGAAACACGGACCAAG